CCUACGGGAGGCAGCAGUGGGGAAUCUUAGACAAUGGGGGAAACCCUGAUCUAGCCAUGCCGCGUGAUCGAUGAAGGCCUUAGGGUUGUAAAGAUCUUUCAGAUGGGAAGAUAAUGACGGUACCAUCAGAAGAAGCCCCGGCUAACUCCGUGCCAGCAGCCGCGGUAAUACGGAGGGGGCUAGCGUUAUUCGGAAUUACUGGGCGUAAAGCGCACGUAGGCGGAUCAGAAAGUCAGAGGUGAAAUCCCAGGGCUCAACCUUGGAACUGCCUUUGAAACUCCUGGUCUUGAGGUCGAGAGAGGUGAGUGGAAUUCCGAGUGUAGAGGUGAAAUUCGUAGAUAUUCGGAGGAACACCAGUGGCGAAGGCGGCUCACUGGCUCGAUACUGACGCUG
rnacentral:rRNA from 1 species